GUAGGUGGCAAGCGUUGUCCGGAAUUAUUGGGCGUGAAGCGCGCGCAGGCGGUCCUUUAAGUCUGAUGUGAAAGCCCACGGCUCAACCGUGGAGGGUCAUUGGAAACUGGGGGACUUGAGUACAGAAGAGGAAAGCGGAAUUCCACGUGUAGCGGUGAAAUGCGUAGAGAUGUGGAGGAACACCAGUGGCGAAGGCGGCUUUCUGGUCUGUAACUGACGCUGAGGCGCGAAAGCGUGGGGGAGCAAACAGGAUUAGAUACCCUGGUAGUCCACGCCGUAAACGAUGAGUGCUAAGUGUUAGGGGGUUUCCGCCCCUUAGUGCUGCAGCUAACGCAUUAAGCACUCCGCCUGGGAGUACGGCCGCAAGGCUG
rnacentral:rRNA from 1 species